CAGUUCGGACUGUAGGCUGCAACUCGCCUACACGAAGUUGGAAUUGCUAGUAAUCGUGGAUCAGCAUGCCACGGUGAAUACGUUCCCGGGUCUUGUACACACCGCCCGUCACACCAUGGGAGCUGGUAACACCCGAAGUCCGUAGCCUAACCGCAAGGAGGGCGCGGCCGAAGGUGGGUUCGAUAAUUGGGGUGAAGUCGUAACAAGGUAAC
rnacentral:rRNA from 1 species